UCACAGGCGUGUGUUCUGUUCUUCAUAGUGGCUCUGGUCACUGCAGCCGGAUUCUUCAUUUAUGGACCUGGGCCUUUUCCAGUCAUUGAGUCGACCAUGACCACUGCUGUUUAUCAACAUGUUCUAGAGUCUAAUGUGAAACCAUUUGGCCAUCAGAUGAAAACAGCUACUGAGAUCUUAUUUCUGGUUAAGCAACAAGAUUGAGGCAACUUAAAGUGAAAAAUAUCCCUCAUCAUCUCCCUGUUUCUCAGCUCUUCCUCAGUAGAUUGAGGUCUUUUGCUUUAAAGCAUUUAUUCAAUCAAACGCCAAAGAUGAUAAACAGUUAAAGAACUCUGAAUUCCCAAGUGCACAGCUUCUAGAAAGGAGGGAGCUCUGAAACACAAAUUUGAGAAAAUGCAUGUGAGCAUCAUAUAACCCACUGAGGGAAAGACUGCAUCUUCCAAAACAAAUAUUGGAUCCAAAGUGAUGUCUGGUCUGCUGCCUGCAUAUGAGGCUGUACCCCAGGUGAAAAUCUGAUCAUAGAUUCUCUGAUAAGAGAUGGGUCGGUCUCUGAUUUGAUAACUGAAACAAUUUUCCCCACUUCCUGAAGAAGACUAUUGAAACUGCAGCUUCUUGCACUUCCCCAAUAAGAACUCACCCCAGCUGCUAGACUAGAAGUAUUCCCCAUGUCUCUCUCUCCAUUGGUCCUGUUAAACAUGAAAGGUACAGUAAGGAGUGUUUAGGCAACUAACCUAGUUUGAAUAAUUAUUUCAUUGUGUUUUCUUUGUUGUACAUUAUGUUUUUUAAGUUAGAGCAGAUUCCUGAGCUGCUUAAUAAACCUUUCAGUGCUUCAGGCAGUUUUGGAAAGCUGGUGAUGAAAGAGUCACUUUGUUUCAGCAAUUUGAGGAAGAGCUACUUCAGUGUUACCUCUUUUUUCUAACAUUCAUAAAAAAAAUCACAGCAUUGUCCUGGUUUACAUCAGCAUUAAUUAUGCUUUUGGCUGCACAACACAGUGGGCACUGUCAAUUAGAGAAACAGGUUGAUGCACAAAUUUGAUGCAUUGAGGCAACAUUUAAAUAAACCAAAACAUUGCUGCCUUUCUCAAUAUUUAUCAGUGGUGCAGUUUAAGGCACACGCAGUUCUCUAAGUUGGCUGCAGAGGGCAGUAUUGUGUCACUCCCUCAGUGAACAACAGGACCUGAUGGUGGUUUUUCUGUUGCUCAGAGAGCAUUAAUGUCUGAAAGUAGAAGACUAAAACAAUUAAACUGUAAUAAGUUCCUUUAUUUAUUUCAAUAUUAACCUAAAAAAUUAUUUUUAGCGGAGAAGGUGGCUGCGAAAAGAAAUAAUAUCUGAUUGGUUUAUCAAAAUAUGGCUUAAUUGUUAAAGUACACCAGCGUUUUCUUUGGAAUUAUGUCUGAUUUAGUUUUUAAAUGCUUUAUAAUCUGGAAUUUUCAACAGUGAAAAUAUAUGUUUAAUUAAAUAUUAAAAAUUCCCUUAUUCUAGUUAUAAAUCUCAUUAAAUUUUUUUGCAGACCAUGAAGGUGACAAAGCAACCACAGCAUCUCAAUGAACAGCAGUGUUUUUGUCCAUUCAAACAAAAAAGAUAAGAUCAAAUGGCCUUUUAUGUUUCACAGAAGUUUUAACUCAAAUUAGCUAUUUAGUGACUCAGGCCCUCUGAGUUUUUUUUAUUUUCAAUUUUAUUUGAAGUUUGAAAUGAAAUGAUGGUAGGAAAAUAGAUUAGUCACAUUGUGUUUGUUGUAAAAGCACAAAAAUAGUUUCUUAAAGCAAUGUUCGGAUAGUCAAACUUAGUAUCAGAAAUAUCUCUGUAUAUUAAAAUACUGAUUUCUAACAGUAUCUCCACGCCCUGAACAGGAUAGUUUCCCAGUACCUGUGUGGCUCCUUUUUGUAUAAAUUACUGCAUUACGUGGUGUGACAUGGAGGUGAUCUGCUGUUAGUUCUGCUGAGAUGGUCAAGAAGUCCAUAGAUUUCCUGCAGGGUUCAGGUGAGUGGCAUCGCCUGGCCACUCCUGUUUCUAGCCCUGAAUGAUUCUCAUCAAGCUCUGGAUCUUUUUUUUCACUCAGGAAAUUCACUCAGCCCUUUGAUAUCAAAUGAUAAGAGGUUUUGUAAUUUCCAUUCUCCGGUGAAUACAACACAGUCACAACACCAUGACCAAAGACAGAGGAGUUUCUGUGGAAGCGGGCACUCAUCCAUGUUUUAUCCGUGCUGCUAUACACUGUGUGCAGAAUUAUUAGGCAAAUGAGUAUUUCGACCACAUUAUCCUUUUCAUACAUGUUGUUCUACUCCAAAAUUUAUAGGCUUGAAAGCCAACUACCAGUUAAGUAAAUCGGGUGGUGUGCAUCUCUGUAAUGAGAAGGGGUGUGGCCUAAUGACAUCAACACCCUAUAUAAGGUAUCAUUAACUAUUAGGUAACUUCUAAUUUUCCUUUGGCAAAAUGGGUCAGAAAAUGGAUUUGACAGACUCUAAAAAGUGAAAAAUUGUCAGAUGUCUUUCAGAGAGGUGCAGCAGUUUAGAUAUUGCCAAACUUUUGAAGCGGGAUCAUCGAACAACCAAGGGGUUCAUGGCAAAUAGCCAACAGGGACAAAGGUUAGCAAGACAAAGGUUCAGCAAGAAGGUUCAGGUUUUGUUCCCGGCCCGGGGUCUUUCUGCAUAGAGUUUGUAUGUUCUCCCUAUGCAUGCGUGGGUUCUCCCCAGGUACUCUGGUUUCCUCCCACA